rnacentral:rRNA from 1 species
GAUGAACGCUGGCGGCGUGCCUAAUACAUGCAAGUCGAGCGAACGGACGAGAAGCUUGCUCCUCUGAUUUUAGCGGCGGACGGGUGAGUACCACGUGGAUAACCUACCUAUAAGACUGGGAUACCUUCGGGAAACCGGAGCUAAUACCGGAUAAUAUUUUGACCCGCAUGGUUCAAAAGUGAAAGACGGUCUUGCUGUCACUUAUAGAUGGAUCCGCGCUGCAUUAGCUAGUUGGUAAGGUAACGGCUUACCAAGGCAACGAUGCAUAGCCGACCUGAGAGGGUGAUCGGCCACACUGGAACUGAGACACGGUCCAGACUCCUACGGGAGGCAGCAGUAGGGAAUCUUCCGCAAUGGGCGAAAGCCUGACGGAGCAACGCCGCGUGAGUGAUGAAGGUCUUCGGAUCGUAAAACUCUGUUAUUAGGGAAGAACAUAUGUGUAAGUAACUGUGCACAUCUUGACGGUACCUAAUCAGAAAGCCACGGCUAACUACGUG